AGCUUUGCGCAGUGGCAGUAUCGUAGCCAAUGAGGUUUAUCCGAGGCACAAUUAUUGCUAAUUGAAACUAUAUUUAUAAAUUUACAUCUAGAAAUCCCAUUAUAAUAGAUAAAAUUCUAUCACAAUAAAAGCAUC